rnacentral:rRNA from 2 species
CGGUCCCUUUCCGAACCCGGAAGCUAAGCCCGAUUGCGCUGAUGGUACUGCACCUGGGAGGGUGUGGGAGAGUAGGUCGCCGCCAACC